UUGAUAUCUUUCUCUAAGUUUGGCAAGUUUUCUGUUAUUAUUCCUUUGAAUAAACUUUCUUCCUUAUCUCUUUCUCUACGUCCUUUUUAAGGCCAAUAACUCUAAGAUUUUCCCUUUUGAGGCUAUUUGCUAGAUCUUGCAGGUGUGCUUCGUUUUGUUGUUGUUGUUGUUCUUUUUUCUUUUGUCUCCUCUGAGUAUUUUCAAAUAGCCUGUCUUCAAGCUCAUUAAUUCUUUCUUCUGUCUGAUCAAUUCUCUUAUUAAGAGACUCUGAUGCAUUGUUUAGUAUUCAGUUGCAUUUUCCAACUGUAGAGUUUCUGCUUGAUUGUAAUUAUUUCAGUCUCUUUGUUAAAUUUAUCUUAUAGAAUGCUGAAUUCCUUCUCUGUGUUAUCUUGAAUUUCCUUGAGUUUCGUCAACAUAGUUCUUUUGAAUUCCCUGUCUGAAAGGUCACAUAUCUCUGUUUCUUCAGCCAGGUGGGUCCAGACAUGUUGUCUGGAAGCCAGGGAUUGGAGCAAAAAGCCUUAGAGAUUUCUUAGCACUUUGGGAGUCCAAGGUGGGUGGAUCACCUGAGGCCAGGAGUUUGAUACCAGCCUGGCCAACAUGGUGAAGCCCAUCAAGAGGACAGGGACCAUGUUGUAUGUGUUGUUCGCCACUGUAUCCACACCACUUAGCACACAAUAAGUAUUUGUUUAAAUAAAAUUAAAUUUUAGCUGGGCAUGGUGGCUCACA
rnacentral:lncRNA from 1 species